rnacentral:rRNA from 1 species
UACGGAGGGAGCAAGCGUUACUCGGAAUUAUUGGGCGUAAAGGGCGCGUAGGCGAUUCGAAAAGUCAACUGUGAAAGCCCAGGGCCUAACCCUGGAAGUGCAGCUGAUACUGUUGAAUUUGAGUUCCGGAGAGGAAGGCAGAAUUCCCGGUGUAGCGGUGAAAUGCGUAGAUAUCGGGAGGAAUACCAGUGGCGAAGGCGGCCUUCUGGACGGAUACUGACGCUGAGGCGCGAAAGCUAGGGGAGCAAACGGG